rnacentral:lncRNA from 1 species
AAAUCUCGUUGCAACUUAGUGAUUUAGCCAUGAAAAUUGUUCCUUUGAAGUUGAGUGAUUCAAACUGCCAUUGCAACCAAUCCUCUUCACUUAGAAAUUUGCUAAAAAUCCAAAUCAUCUUCAAAUCUAAAAAAAAUUGUGUCUUUCAUAGCUUAGCUUACAAAGACCAAUGCUCCCAAAAUUUCAAUUGAAUCCAAUUAUAAGUCAGUGAGAAAUGCCUUUUUAAACUCAAUUAAUUCAAACUAAGAAGGCAGUCAACUCCCUUACAGUCAAAAUUUCACUAAAACUUCA